UAACUCUGCAGUUUUUAGUCUUCUGUUUUCAAACCGCUGGUUUAGUUGGUGGGCUAUUAGCUUACGUAAAUGGACAUCCCUCAUAUCAUAAUUUGCUCCAAGUUAGGUUCAAUUGCAGUGAAACAGAAAGACAUUGUUACUUCCUUCUGUAAGUAUUAGUUUAAUACUGAAUAUUUUCUGAAGUAAAGACAAUGGUUACGAGACGAACCGUGAAAGAUGGUAUCUGUGAUGAGGUUAGGGACAUAAUUAAUUGGUUCCAUUCUCUUGACACAACUUUUCUUCAUAAUAAAGUGCAGCUCGAAGAGCUGAGGCAAAUAUAUGAAGAACUGCCAGAAUAUUUGGAGGAGGUGUUGUCAUUGGAACUUGCACGUCAAAUAGGUAUGUUAUGUUUUUCUUAACCAUGUUUGAUAUUGUCUAGAACUUGAAGGACACGACAAAAACUAAAAUAUAGAGAAGUCACUAUAAAACCCAUGUAGUUUCUUACAAUCCUUUUGGAUUCAAGUGGGUAUAUUACCAACGUAUAUGACUUAACAUCAUGAUCGUUAAAGGCUAGUUUUAAUAGAUAUUAAUCCCCAUUAUCUAUAAAAACACAAAGAGCAAAAGUCACUCACAGUCCCACAUCCGCUGAAUGAAGAACACACAGAUGAAGGGACUACCUAUAUAAACAGAGGCCUAUUAUGAGAUAAAGCAUACCUUUCUCGGCCUUUUGGCUAAGAUCAAGUGUAGUAUCUGUUCUUAUCAGUUUAAUAUCUGAUAUGUGGGUCAUCGGCCCACUUGAUAUUAAUCUUAUUUUUUAUGGGGGAAGACCCAUCACAAUAGCUUGCUAUUGGGGUCUUUGAGUGUCGCCUUGGUCUUGCACUGCCACCUUGGCCUGGCGCACCCCUCCAAACCCUAGUUUAAAGCCUUAUAUGGUAGGCUUGCACUACCACCUUGGCCUGGCGCACCCCUCCAAACCCUAGUUUAAAGCCUUAUAUGGUAGGGAAAGUCAAUAAGUUGUUUUCUAAAAGGUGUUUGGCUUAACUUAUUCAUGUAAAAUGACUUAUUCCCCUUGUAUUAAAUAGUCAUUUACAAAAGUUCUUAGGAGAUUCUAAAUGGAAUCCCAAACAUGGCCUUAGACUACUCUUAUUGUGUAGAAAGUGAAGAUCUCUUCUUCAUGCUUUUAUCGGUUAAUAUUUCCAAAUUGGAUAUUGGAUAUGCAUUUUGAAUUAGAGCUAGAUGAAUGUAUUUUAGAGGAACUUCAAGACUGUAAAUUUGCUGUAAGCUGGUUACUUUAAGCAUGUCUUGUUUGCGAA